rnacentral:circRNA from 1 species
GACUCCCUGGAGGAAAAGCGGAAGCGGCAGCGGUCUGAACGCCUGGAACGGAUUUUCCAACUUAGUGAGGCUCAUGGGGCCCUGGCACCUGUGUAUGGGACUGAAGUCCUGGAUUUCUGUACCCUGCCCCAACCUGUUGCCAGCCCCAUCGGCCCUCGUUCUCCUGGCCCCAGCCACCCCACCUUUUGGACUUAUACCGAGGCUGCCCACCGGGCUGUACUGUUUCCCCAGCAGCGACUAGACCAGCUGUCAGAAAUCAUUGAGAGGUUCAUCUUUGUCAUGCCUCCUGUGGAGGCACCUCCCCCUUCCCUGCAUGCCUGCCACCCACCUCCUUGGCUGGCCCCACGUCAGGCAGCCUUCCAGGAGCAAUUGGCCUCUGAGCUCUGGCCCCGGGCUCGUCCUUUGCACCGUAUUGUGUGUAACAUGCGCACCCAGUUCCCUGACUUAAGACUCAUCCAGUAUGAUUGCGGAAAGUUGCAGACGUUGGCAGUGCUGUUGCGGCAGCUCAAGGCAGAGGGCCACCGAGUGCUCAUCUUCACCCAGAUGACCCGAAUGCUGGAUGUAUUGGAGCAGUUUCUCACCUACCAUGGCCAUCUCUACCUGCGCCUGGAUGGAUCUACUAGAGUUGAACAGAGACAGGCCUUGAUGGAACGGUUCAAUGCAGACAAACGCAUAUUCUGCUUCAUCCUUUCAACUCGGAGUGGGGGUGUGGGCGUGAACCUGACAGGAGCAGACACUGUUGUUUUUUAUGACAGCGACUGGAAUCCCACCAUGGAUGCUCAGGCCCAGGACCGCUGUCACCGAAUUGGCCAGACCCGGGAUGUCCACAUAUAUAGGCUUAUCAGUGAACGGACAGUGGAGGAGAACAUCCUAAAAAAGGCAAAUCAGAAGAGAAUGUUGGGGGACAUGGCCAUUGAGGGAGGCAACUUCACCACAGCCUAUUUCAAACAG